CCCAACGUUGCACAGCUAACAUGGGGUGCUGCCCAUGUGCCAGGACUUGAGUCCAGGCAGGGUGCCCCCAGGGGUGUGUAGUCGUCAAGACCAGACCUAAGAGCAGACCUCCUGGGUUUAAAUCCCAGCGCCUCCACUCAUUUGCUUUGUCCUCCUGUCCCUUAGUUUCCCUGCCAAAAAAAGGGCAUGAAAAUUGUACCCAUUUCUUAGUGCUACUGGGUGGAUCAAAUGUGUAAAUGCCCAUAAAACACUUGAGCAGGGCUUGGCGAACAGAAAGCACAGGUGGAGGGACUUGCCUGGGACAGAUUUGGGUGCUUCUCAUGCUGGGAGUGGAGGGAGGAAGCUAGCACAGGCUGAUGGAGGGAGGAGCAGAGGGAGGAAGCGAGCACAGGCUGAUGGAGGGAUCUGCGGAGUCCUUGGCCCUUUUGUACAGUGUUUAUCUAUUUAUGGGCCCUCUCCUGGGUCAGACGGCACCUUGCAGGCAGGUGUAAGAGCAGCUUGUGCUGGAGUUGAAGCAGCCCUUGGGACCAGAUCCCAGUCUCUUCACUCCACUGCAUCGCCAUGGGACCUUCUGCACGUUCCUCUCAGAGCCUUCGUCUCUUCCCAGGCCAAAGGGGCAGUGAUGCCCACCUGCUGGGCCAUGGGGAGGAUGAAAUGAGAUCAUGUGCGUGAGUGGGCAUGCCCAUAGCAAUGCCAGGCACCUGGGUGACACUUGUUAUACAGAAGCUACCUCCGCCACUUCUACAGACAUUGAUGGAGCAGGGGCCAGGUACUGUUCUAGAAUGAAAUUAUUAUUAUCCCUAGAGCCUCAUCAGAGUACCUAGAUGGUUACUAACUGUUGGGCAGAGGGCGUCUCCAGCAGGGAUUAAGGACGGAGUGAAGGAGGAGGUGCUAGGAUGAAUUAGUCAGAAAAGGAAAGUGGAGAGUUUGCGCGUAACCUGCACUGUUAGAUAUCCGCGGGCCCUCAAGCUGCACCCCACCUAAGACAGCACGCUAUGGGCUGAGUUUGGCAGAUCCCAAGUUACAUGCAGAUGUGACUUGGAAGAUGAGAGUGUAGUAUCCUGAGCACCUGAGGACUGGUGGCAGGGCAUCCAGGCUGGUGGGACAUUUUGUUAUUUAUUUAUUUAUUAUUUUUGGCUGCAUUGGGUCUUCGUUGCUGCGUGUGGACUUUCUCUAGUUGCAACGAGCAGGGGCUACUCUUCCUUGAGGUGCGUGGGCUUCUCAUUGCAGUGGCUUCUCUUGUUGUGGAGCACGGGCUCUAGGCUCGUGGGCUUCAUUUGUUGUGGCAGGUGGGCUCAGUAGUUGUGGCUCGUGGGCUAUAGAGCGCAGGCUCAGUAGCUGUGGCGCACGGGCUUAGUUGCUCUGCGGCAUGUGGGAUUUUCCCGGACCAGGGCUUGAACCCGUGUCCCCUGCAUUGGCAGGCGGAUUCUUAACCACUGCGCCACCGGGGAAGCCCCUGGUGGGCAAUUUACUUCCCAAGGUCUGUCCUCUUGGGGACUGUGAAAUCCAACCCACCUGACUUGGAGAUGGGAUCUCCCGGUAAAGGAAGAAGUUUGUUUGGCGGAUCAUGUGGGUUCUGGGCAGGACGGGCUUAUGGGUGUGGACCUGUGCAGUAACACUGAGCACCUUGUUCGAAAGGGAUAGUUUAAUGCUUUGCUUUUGUCAUCUUGAAAUUCUUCAUAAUUUUGAACAAGGAGCCCUACAUUUUCAUUUUGGCUUGAGCCCUGCAAGUUAUGUAGCCUGUUCAGGUUCUAGGGCCUGAGGUGUUUGUCUCCUAGCCCAUAAUGAACGUGGCAGGGCCCACAUUGGCACCUGGCCCUGGAUGUGAUGGGCCCAGAGAGGGAUGAGGGAGGCUGCAUGGGGCUCUGUCCCUUCGGAGGCCUGGAGCUGGGGUGAGACCUGUGGUAUUAAGUGGAGCAUGCCCGACAGAGUCAGACCACUGGAUUUGUGUCCUCACCCUGCUACUAGCCAGCUGUGUGCUCUCCAGCAGGCUCUGGAUAUCUCUGAGCCUGUUUCCCCGUCUGCAGACUGCGGAUAGGGUGACCACAUGACAGGAGGGUUAAAUGAGGUAAUGGGCAGAGAGUGCCUGGUACGUAGUAGGUGCUUAGCAGAUGUUUGCUGGUGGGUGCCUGCUUGGGCCCAGAAGGCAGUUGGGCUGGGAAUAACAUGGUCCUACUCCAGGAGAUGAUGGGAGAAAAGGCACCAUGUCCGUGCACUACCCUGUAGGGGAUGUAGAGGGCUGAGUGCCAUCCUUGGAACCGUCUUCCAGGAAAUGGGCUGCCAGCUCCCCCUCCAAACGGGCCACCAUCUUUGGCCACUUCAUCUCCAGAAUGAGCAAAGGUAGAACAAAUCCGAGCCCUGGCCCAGAGCUGGGAAUUCCAGGCUGUCGGGCCUUGUUCUGGGGCCCUGAGCAAUCCUACCCCUCGCUCCGCAACUGUCUCACACCCUAGUUUCCCCAGAUCCUCUCCAGGGAGAGCAGCUUUCCCUGUGUAAUAGGGCAGUGCCCCUUCCCUCCGGAAGGCCUCCCCGUCCAGGGGAUAUAGCUGUGGGCUGAGGUCACGUGUUCCCUCCUCCUCAACACCCCAUUGUCCUGUCCCCUCCCCCCUUCUGAUCCUUGAUUUACCCUGAGCUGGAUUAAGACCUUUAGCCUCCCUCAGAGCUGAGAGGUUAAGAUGCACCUCCCCCCACCCACUCACAUACAAAUUCAAAAUAAAAACCACCCUAAACCUUAAAUCGGUGUGACGAAGUCCAACAAAGUUCUGAUUUUUCCCAGGAUGACUACUUCCUUGCUAUUUUUGAAAUACUAAGAAUUAGCUCUUAAAAAAAGCAAACCACACCAAAAUGCUUUGUUGAUGCCCUUUUACUGCCAGUGCCCUAAGCACACGCUUACUCCGCCUGUUCGGUAACCUGGCCUCGCCUGCCCCCUCCCCUGUGCCAGAGCGGGACAGAGGCCUGACCUGCAAUACAGGGCAUUGGGCCACUCUGCUCAGAGCCUUCCCCAGGGGAGAGGGAAGCCCUGGGCCAAUCAGCCCCUCCUGGAGAGGUGAUGUCAGGAAAGCCCAGAAGGUUCCACUCCACCCCUGCCACAGGCUCACCCUGUCCUCCCGACCAGAGCAGCCAGGGCCAGCACGGGCCCUCGUCCAGUCCUCCAGCUGGCCAAGGACGGCUGGGCUGCGUUAGUGCCCAGGCCUGCUGCCCUUCACUCCACACCUGCGGCUGGUCUCCCUGCCCCAAGCUCCUCCCCUUCCCGCUGUGAGGGAGGAGCGAGCAAGUCCUGCAACUUCUGCACACUGGCUCUUCCAGAUCCUUGCUUAUAAUCCCUGGACAAAAAUAAAUCCUGUGUGUCUGAGCAGGAGAGGGUAGGAGGGUGAGAUGUUGGGAGACAGAGGAGGCAGGCAGAAGGCCUCGGACAAGCAGAAAGACCAGGCCUCCUUAGCACCCCCAGUGAAUGUCCCAAAGAAAGGGGCUGAUACCGGGCAUCCCAGAAAAUUCCAGGUGGGAGGACCUUUCGGAGCACUUCAUUUUGCUGAGAGCUAACAGGCCCAGAAAGCGGGCAGGUCAUUUCCCUAAUGUCAGCAGCAAACAAGAGGCUGGUGGAUCAGAGCCCUGUGGGCCUUGCUCUGGCUCCUCCCUUUUCCCUGAGUGAGGCAUGAGGACUGGCCCCCAACCUCCUGGGUGCGCCUCCCCUGAGCACCCCCUGAUCAAGCCAGAAGGCACCUCUGCAUCCCCUGCCUGCCCGCCACUGCCCACUUUCCUGCUCAGCUCUUUUUCUCCCCACACUACCCAGCACCCAUCCAGCUUAUCCCCCUUUCACCUCCUCAAGGAAAGGGACAUUUAUUACUGCGUCUGGUGUGGCACAUACGAAGCUAUAUAUCCCUCUCGAUGAUAAACCAAAGCCUGAGGUUAGAUGUUUUCUGGAGGAAAUUUCACAUUCCAGGAGAGAGAAAGAAAGGAUUGGUGGAUUCUGAGCACUUUACAUGUGCAAGGCAUUUUCCUUACUUGACUUGCAAGCCUUAAGGCAGUGCUGCAAAGCAUCUUCCAUCUGAGAGAUGAGCCUUUGAGCCAGAGAGCUUUAAGGCGCUGGCUGAAGGUCGCGGAGCAGCAGUGCUCAGCGGAAACCCGUCUCCCAUCCACUGCUUGCAUCUCUGGGCCCCGCAUCUGCAGCGCUAGGGAUGCGGCUGGCCUGCAGCGAGUGUUCUCUGGGCAUGAUCUCACUUUAUCCUCACAGCACCCACGAGAGAGCUACUAUUGUCUCCUCUUUUUACAGUGCUGGAAACGGAGGCACGGGGAGGUUAAGGGACUGUGACCCCCCCACUAGACAGAAGUGGAGGUGCAACUUGAAUGCAGGGACUCUGCUGCAGGCCCGUGCUCUUAAUCAGGCACAAUCUGAGUCCUCCCCCAUACUUCCAGCCCCUUGUCACCUCUGCCUCGGGGAUGUGGGUUUCAGGCCAGCCUCCUAGAGUCUCCUUGGGAGGUCAGGGGCUGUGGGUUCUCAUUCUGCAGCCACUCUAGUUAAAGGCUUAGGGAAGGAGGAAGGAAAGAUAUGGGCUGAGAGUGGAGUUUGAGAUUUGUGUCUUGCCCUUUUUUAGAGUUUUCGCUUUGUCCCUGCGGCUCUAGGGGAUUAAGGUUGUAUGUUUCUUUCCUCAGCCGGGGCUUCCCCCAGAAAAGCCCAUGAAAUACAUAGACUGGGGGGGGACGGUAUUUGGAAAGAGUUCAUUCAGGCUUUGGGAUUAGACAGAAGGGUUUCAUGUUUCUUCUGUACUAGUGAUCUUGGAAAAGUCACUCUGAGCCUUGAAUUUCUUUCUGUCAAGUAAGAAUAGUGCCUUCUUUGAAGAGUUAUAAAGGGGGUCAAAUGAGACGAUUGAUUAUUGUAAACUGUGACGUCGUCUAUAGUUGUCAAUUCUGACGCAUUGAUGCUAUUACCUUCCUAACUGAGGAGCAGUGAAGGUGGCUGUGGGAGUGACAAGCUGGGCAGUUAGGAUGCUGGUAAAGUGAAUUUUGUCCCAGAGCCCUGAGACCUCUAAGCUACAGGGGAGAGGCUGCAGAUGGGUCCAGAUGCUUUACUGGUGCCUUGCGGGGGGGAUCAAGAAACUGGCUUUGCCCGGGCUGCUGAGGAAGCAGCAGAAGCUUGCAUUGCCCAGGGUGGAACACACCCAUUGCCCUUCCAGAGUGCAAGGCCCCUGGGCUCACACCGUCAGACAAGAGCAGUGACAUUCUCCCAGUUGAUUCCACCCCAGGUUCCCCCAAAGGGGAGGAGCUCCUGGCCAUUUUCAGGAGUUCUCAUUUCCAAUCUGCCCAGGUGGUUGCAGGGAGAUUGGAGGCUGGGGGAAAACAUGAGGAACCUUCGCCUAAAGCGAGCCAGGGGUCCGUGGCACCAGGACGAAGGGCUGCUGCAGGCGGAUGCGGUCUUGCUGGCUUAUGUAACCAUUUCCCUCAGCACCCCCCACCCCCGAGUAUGCACAAACAAUAACUUGGAAUAGAUACCAGUCUGGUUGAGGCAGGUCAUCAAAACCUGGAACUGUCCCUGCCAAACAGGAACGUCCUGUCCCCUCAGCUGAGCAGAUGCCUGGCUUAUGGGGGGAGGAAUGAGAGAUGUAAUCAGGCUCUCAGAGUUAGGAAGCAUGGAUUGUCCUUGCUUUGUUGGGUCAUCUGGUCAAUUAUCACUUAUUCAGCAUUCAGAAUGUGGUCAUAAAUAAGCCAAAGUCCUUGUUGGUGUGCUUACAAGCUAUCGGGGAAGGGUUCCAGAAACACAAAACUUGGUAACAGAGGGGCAACUGCUUUAGCUUGGGCAAUUUGGCUUGGGUUUUGAUGAGUGAAUAGGAGUUCACUGAUCAGGGAAGGGAAAAUCCCAGGUCUUAUUUGUCCACUGGUUUAAGAUGAAAAAACAACCUUGUGCAGAAUACAUGAGUGCUAGGAGGUACUCUAAGGUGGCAGGAAAGCAUGACUUAGGAAUGAGACCAUUCUGGGUCUGACGGUAGAGUUCCCUGAUACUGUAAUUUUGGCCUCUGCCCCACUGAUCAGGCCUCCAGCCCUUCUCUGGCCUCUGUUGGAAGAAAACUUGGCCCAAAGCAAAUUUCUCUCUCUGAGUGUGCCAUCCGGUGCCUUGAUAACUGGGAGCACAGAGGUCAAGGGAGAACAUUUUAUUGGUGCUGCAGAGAGUCAAAAUACACGGAUGGGAGGCCUUCCCCAUCUCCCUGCCCCCUGCCCUCUUCCCCGCCUGCCCUGGCCACAACCACCAGGCACCCUCAUCUCUUUUAACCUGUUCUUGCUUGGCCCUGAAAUAGCUUGCCUGAGUCCUUGACCUGCCAUUUCCUAGACCUCUCACUUGGCUCAGUGUUUCAGGACCCAGACUCCUAUAUGGCCAUCUCCAGUUAUUCCUUAGGUCCAGACCUUGCACACACAGCCUGAUUGAGUCUGCAGCCCCAUAAGCACUCACAGAUAAGACCUUUUGAAUAGCAAAAGCACACAAUCCCACGCUAGCUAUGUACCCCCAGGCUGUCACCCACUUGAAUAUGUGAGCCCAUGCUCACAAUUUCCAGGACCAGAUAGAUCAACUGUAGGGCAGAACUUGUGGAGUGGGCACACCUGGGCUGUUUGUGACAGUAGCCCCUCAUCGCUUAAACAGCAGGGAAUGCAAAGCCAUGCAUGGAUUUGGUCUCAGUUGAAUUUAUUUGCAUCUCCCUUUGGAUGAGUCAAAAGCAUGUCUGAUUAUCAUGUAAUAUCUUUUUUUUUUUUUUCUGGGACACAGGCCUCUCACUGUUGUGGCCUCUCCCGUUUCGGAGCACAGGCUCCGGACGCACAGACUCAGCGUCCAUGGCUCACGGGCUCAGCCGCUCUGCGGCAUGUGGGAUGUGGGAUCUUCCCGGACCGGGGCACGAACCUGCAUCCCCUGCAUUGGCAGGCGGACUCUCAACCACUGCGCCACCAGGGAAGCCCUGUAUUCUCUCUUUUCAAUUUAGAGUUUCCCCACGUGGCAAGUGAGAAUGGGGCUUCCUCACCUGUUUCACUGAAGGGAAAGUCAAGACAUUAAAGAGUGAUUUGCCCACAGUUCCUUUAUUUAGCAGACACGCAUGGAGCACGUGCUCUCUGCCGCAGUCUCUGCAAGCACAGGGCGUUCAGGAGAAAGCAAACCAAAGGGCCUGUCCCCAGGAAGCUUGCAUUCUAGUGGGGAACACCAACAACAAAUAAAUACGUCAAAAUAUGUCAGCAUAUGUCAUAUGCUAUUCAGAUGGAUAAAGUAGGGAGGGGGAGAGUGAUUGACAGGAUGGGGAGAGUGUUGUUGUUUCACACAGUUGGUUCUGGAAGGCCCUGCAGAGGAGGUAACGUCAAAGAAGAGAUCUGAUAUAUGUGUGAGGCUAGGGUGUUCCAGGCCGUGUGACAAUGUCAUAACCACACUGAGUGCCCUCAAUCUUUUCUCUCUCUACCGCUGGCUCCCUGCAGCGAGGCAGGGACUCUUUGAAAAAAAGGAUGACAACUACUCAUCUUUGGGUCUUCGGUUCUGAUGGCGGUUCAGAUGCUAUUGGCAUGUUUCCACCUCCACCUCCAGAAGGGCUCGUGUGAUACUGAAUGCCCAGUCCAGGAACAGUGCCUGGAAUAGAGGAGAAUGUUUCUGACUGACUGCGUUGCAGAUAGAAUGCGCGAUUAGAAGCCUGCAGCUGGAGGUCAAGGUUCUAAAGCACAGAGGGGUUAAGUGAUUUAACUGAGGUCACACAGCUAAUAAUUGGCAGAGCCAGAAUGAGUAUUUUUAAUAUAAAAAAGGACAGAGCUUUCCAGGAAAUGCCACCCUGAUGGUGAGUUGCAGGGUUUCUGUCCCCAGACCCUUCCCUUGGCCCCUAGCCCAGGGUGAACUGUCCUUGUCUGUGAUUUCUCCUCAUCCCAGCACAAGAAGUAUGCGAGUACACACCACACACACACACACACACACACACACACACACACACACACACACACUCACACAGAAUCCCAGCCACUGUGGCUGUCUGGAUGGAAGGGAUCACGGGCCAUGUCAGGCUGGGCUGUGGUCCCUCUUUCUGAUUAUUCUUCUGUGGGCCCGGGCCACUGAGGCCGAGGGGGCCAGGCAGGGAAGGGGCUGGGUCUUGGCUCUCCACGGGAGCCUGCACAGGGCUCAGAGAUUCCAAUUUGUGCCUGUGGGGUAGCGUAAGGCUGAUCCUCCAUAACACCACCAAGACAGUCACACAGGAGCACCAGGAGGAUCUCCUGGUCCUCUGCACCUGGGCCGGCAUCCGAUUCCCAGAGCACAUCCUUUGAUAUUCCCUCCCGCAGGGUGACAGGUAUGUUCUGUGGCCCCUGUUUUCAAUGUGCUUGUAUGUGUCAAGCCCAGGGGUGCGUGUCCGCACUGCCGUGUGCCACAGCAUGGGUCCCCCUGGGGAGGCAAGGCCCACAGGGGUUUUAAAGGCAGAGCGAGAUGAAUGGAAGCUGACACUUCCACCCGCUAUUGACAAGGAGCUGAGGUGCCUUGCAGAGGACAGGCCUGGUAAUUAAUGUGCCGGUGUCUUCACUGACAAAGCAAAACAGCAAACACGCGAGCGAAGGAGGUGAGUCACGCAGGGAGAUGGCAAUGGUGGAAGGAAAAGGGCAAAGAUGUGUGUGUGUUUCUGGGGGGUAGGAAGGGCUCGGGCAGGGGAAGCUGAGAGGGAGAGAGAGAGAACAGGAUUGUCUGUGCAUCUGUGAGGAAAUGCAUGUGUGAGAGGGAAAGAAACGGGAGAGAGUGUGUGUGAGAGGGAACGCAGGGGUGAGAAGAGAUGUGUGUGUGAUUGACAGGAGGAGGGAGGGAGGCAGGCAGGGUGGGGGGCCUCUCUCACCCCUCCUUCAGCCACAGGGGCUUCUGGAAAGCCCUGCAGUUUGGAGAGAGGGACAUGCGGGAGAGGUGAGAUUUCAUUACCUUUCCCUUUGUGUGAUAUUUUCGUGUUAGAAAUGUAACACUGGAGCUAUAAAUAAUCCAGUCACAGCUGCAGCAUCCAGGAGAUUUAUGGCGCAUGCCAAUGCCAGCCAGCUUUGGGCUGAGGGGGGUUUGCUUUACGAAGCCAAGAUGAAAGGCUGAUUUUCCAGCACUCGUCCCCCCACCCCCCGAUCCUGCCCCCACCUACUCAAUCCCUCCCUCCUGACCUAUGGAGCCAGGGGAGAGAGAAGCUCAAAAAUGCUUAGACCCCCCCUUUGUCCUGGGCAGCCUGGGGCAUGACAGGAGCCGAGUUCCGAGUGGGCAGCUUGCAGAGGUUGGGGAGAGAGUGAGGGGAGCAGGGUGGGCAGAGGUGCAUGCCCUGCCCUAGGCUCCCACUUUGUCAGCUGCCUCAGACAAGGCACAGGCUGGUGGUGCCGACAGGUGGCCCAGACACAGACGGGCUCAGGCCUGAUGAGGUCCCUGGGGCGGUGGCCCCCAAUCCUUGCUCUCCUAUGGGGGCGGGGCCCUUGUUCUCUGCUUCCUCAGCAAAGACUGUGCUUGGUGCAGGACUCCAUGGGGGCUGGGCUUCUCUCUGUCCCGGGAGAGGGGGCUUCCCUGUUGACCUGGGAAGGGGCCAUUCCCCACGAGCUUGGGGGCUGCUGGGUUGGACGGUGACACCGCCGGGCAGAGGCAAACAGUGUGUCUGGGGCAGUGAGAGGGCAGGGAGGAGGCAUCUCGGUCUCCCCAGACCACCUCCUGGGAUCUGCCUCCAGUGGUGAGGGCAGAUGGAGAAGGUGAGGGGAGACAUUGGGGAGCCCAGCUUGUCCUCAGGACCCACGGGGCUGGAGGAAGAGGAGGAGGGUUGGGGUCUCGGGGAGAGGAGCUGGUUCAAGGCGCCGCUGCGACAUGCUGGUGCCUCCCUUGCAGUUUCCCACCAGAGCACUUAGCCCGCUGUGUCCCCCACAAGCCCGAGGCGAGGCCUCCUGAGGGCAGGGAAUAUGCCCGCACUGCUCUCAUUGCAGCCUGCUGACCCCACGGACCCUGGGCCCUGAGCGCAGGGCAUCAGUCCUGCUGGCCGGUCAGACCCUGGUGCUGACGUGUGUGCAAGCCCUGCGGGCCGGAGCCCCGGGUGCAGAGGGAGAGGCCAGAGCCCCCUGGGUCUCCGGACCCCACUUGGUCCCUCUGGCCAGUCCUCAGGCUGCCCUGCCCCUGGCCCUCCUGCCCGCUCUGUGGCCCAGUUACCUCAGGUAUGGUUUCCACUUUGCUUUUCUUCUAAUUCCCUGAGCAAAUAUGGAACAUCCGGAGAGACACUCGAAUCCUGGGUGGGGAUGGAGGCGGUCACGCAGCUGACUACUUCCCAAGGCAGUUCAGUCAAGAUAAACACACCUCACCUGCAGGCCUCUGGCAGAGGGUGGCUGCUGAGGGACUGGGUGCCUGCCCAGCGGGCAGGUGGGGCCCUUCCCUUCGAGAAUUCCUCCGGGGAGAGGUGUCUGUUGCAGGACCGUCAACUUCAGGGCAGCCACACGUGGGUUGUGGCAGGGUCUUGUCUUGGGGCCGGGGCAGUCUGUCCAUCUUCAGCCUCCAAGAGCAAACCAUGUCUGGGAAUGGGACACACACAGUAGGAUUCACUCCCCUGGGGUGUCCCGGAGGCAGCUCAGCUGAAAACAGGAAUGACCUCAGAGCAAGCUUGCCUAAUUUUAUGAAUGGCGGAGCCACCAGGUUCACAAGGGGAACUGGGAGCCUCUGAGGACCUCCCUGACGUCCUUAGAUGGAACUGGGAGCCUCUGAGGACCUGGGAGCCUCCCUGAUGUCCUUAGAUGACGUCCUUAGAUGCAUCUUUGUCUGAUGCAUUCCUGGUGCACCUGCCAGGGGACCACUCACCACUAUAUACAUCAUCACUCUGCCCUGGCCCUUGUGCCAAUCAGGGUUCUUAUUGGGAACAAACUGAAGUGGACUCUGACACUUUUAAGCAGAGGAAAGAUUUGUUGGAAGGAUUUGGGGAUGCUCACAGCAUCAGCAGGAAGGCUGGAGAUCCAGCUCAGGCAGAUCUAAGGGCUGCUAGGUAGUCAGCAUCAUUGCCAGGGUCACACCGCAGGGCAGUCUGCUUAGGAUGCCUUUGCUGGCGUCACCCCUCUGCCAUCCACGGUGUGAUGAUGGUUAAUUUUAUGUGUCAACCUGACCGGGCCACACGAUGCCCCGAUAUUUGUAUUUCUGUGAGGCUGUUUCUGGAUAAGCUUAGCAUCCGAAUCUGUAGACUGAAUAAAGCAGACUGUCCUUCCCAAUGUGGGUGGGCUUCAUCCAAUCAGUUGAGGGCCCAAAUAGAACCAAAAGGUGGAGGAAGGGAGAAUUUUCUCUCUCUGCCUGACCACCUGAGUGGAGACAUCGGUCUUCUCCUGCCCUUGGACUGGGACUUAACACUAUUAGCCCAUAAAAACUUCCCAGGAAGGGAAAUUCCCACCCUCGGCCCCCAAACGGCGCAAGAACAUGGGUGAUUUUCUCAGUUUGCUCAUCUAGAGCUCCAUCCUUCUAUCCUCCCCCCGGACUCCCGCUCCGACUCUGAAGUCCAGGAGGCUGACCGGUGUGGGGGCCACAUCAGCUGAAGUCUCACGCCUUCUGCUUGCGAUGGGAUUUGUCCAGUGGGACUGUUCGGAGGGUGAGAGGACAGAGGCUGGGGUAUUUGCUCCUCUUUCUAUUUCCCUUUGCAGCUAUGGCUCUCUCCAGCUUCCGGUCAGCUCCCUCCCUGUCCCAUCAGGGUCUUCACUGUUCUUUGUGGUUGCCCUUGGCACUGCCCACCCUUGGUAAGAGGGUGAAAGACUCCUCAACUGCCCUGUUGGAGGCUAACACCUCUUUCCUGUUGGAAUCUCAAAUGAUACAGGAACUUUGGAGACUGGGAGGCAACAGAGCCCCCACCAAUGCCCACAACAUGGUGGCACCGAUGCCCAGGGGAGGCAGGCAGCCUGGUAAAGUGGCAAGAGCAUGAACUUGGAGACAGACCUACUAGGGUCUGAAUUUUCAGCCCAACUUUUACUAUCUGUGUGAACCUGGUCAAGUUCCUCAACCAGGCUGGCCCGUCUUUGUUCUUCAUCUGGGAAAUAAAAGUUAAUUUUCAUCUCCUGGAUCUGUCAGGAGAACUGCAUGAGAGAUUUAUUAAGCACUUGGCACUUAGGAGACCGGUGAUGGCAAAAGGGUCCACCUUACGUGCCAGUUCCAACCGAUCAGAAAUGGCUCCUUGCAGCACUGUGUGGAGAAGAAGUCUGACUCCCCGUCCUGGCCCAGAGGUGAUGGGUGCGCUCAUGAUUGAUUCGUGACGGCUGUCACGUUGUGGACCAGGAAGUGGCAGUAGAAUGGACUUGCCUUCUCUGUAGUAGACACUCACUAAAUGAGAGCUAUCAGUUUUCCUAUUUCUCUGCUCUUUGGGAAGAGAAGUAGGAUUCUGCUGGGGUCAGAAAGACCAGGAUCCUGCUUGACCAGCAGGAUCCACUCCCGCCAGCACCGCCCAGGUCCUGAGUCACUGAGCCCGCUGUCCUGGCUCAGCACAGACUUCACGGCGGUGAGGAUGGCCCAGCCAGCCCUUUCCUUUAUCAGCAAACUGCUGCAGCCCUAUCUAGAUUGUUUAAGGUCUUCUUCCUCCUGGGACCUUCUCUUGCUCUUUUCAAUCCUCAAAUGCCAACCUUAUCCUCCUGCCAACAGAUGCCACACACACACACACACACACACACACACACACACACUCUCUCUCUCUCUCUCUCACAGGUGCACCACCUCCUCCCCAUAGUAAGUUAUAGGGAAUUAUUAACUUGAAUUUCUCCACCACGUGUCACCCCCCUUUCCAAAUCUCCCCCAUUAUCUCCUGCCCCAACUCAGGGGACCUGACAUUAUUCCAGCAACACAUACCAGAGUUGGUUGAAGACAGAAUAAGUAGAAGAUAAAUCACGGCCUCAGGCACCCUAUGGGGUGAACUGGAGCCUUAGUGGUUGCCAAGUGGCCCCUGGAGUAACAAAGAAACAAAAGGGAACAAGGAAUCCUUUUCAGAAAUCAUUUUCUUUCUAGUUUCAGUGGCACCUGGGAGUAACCUUCAUGUACUCAUUUAGUUAAGAAAUAUUUAUUGAGGCCUUCCCUGGUAGCGCAGUGGUUGAGAGUCCGCCUGCCGAUGCAGGGGACACGGGUUCGUGCCGCGGAGCGGCUGGGACCGUGAGCCAUGGCCGCUGAGCCUGCGCGUCCGGAGCCUGUGCUCCGCAACGGGAGAGGCCACAACAGUGAGAGGCCCGCGUACCACAAAAAAAAAAAAAAAAAAAAAAAAAACUUUAUUGAGCACCUCAUGUGCUGGGCACAUGUAUGCUCUCUGCCCUGAAGGGGAGAUGGACAAGUAGAACCCAGUGGGUGCUGGGCAGCACAGGGAGCCCUGAGAUGGAGCUGAGCACGGGGGCAGGGGGAACAUCUGAUCGGAGCGACACGGGGGCACGAUCAGAGAUGACUUUCCUGAGAAAGGGGCUCCUAAGGCAAGUCUGGAGGGAUAAGGAAGCUGGUCCAGGCGCAGCAGGUGCAGCAUGUGCAGAGAUCUGAAGGUGUGUGUUUGAGGAGCUCCUGGUUGCUGCCAGGUCACUGGAGCUGGGGCUCCAAGCCAGAAGGGAAGAAGUGAUGGGAGAAGCCAGCGGUAAGGGAGGGGUGGGGCAGGUCCUCCAGGGCCUUGAAAAGGCCUUUCUGAGGAGUCCAGGUUUUCCCAAAGUAGUCCCUGCCCCUGCUACCGUCCCACCUCCUCGUAGCCUGUCCUCUGCCCUCCACCCGCCUUAGCAGGUGAGGCUCUAAAGGAAAUCUCCCAUUUCUCCUCCUCCCACUAGCUGUAGCACUUCCCAGGGAUUUAGGGGCAGACGCCCUCCCCCCAUGGCCUGUUGAUACCGACCCGGGGUCUUGGCCUUCCCCAAUCAAUAGAAAUUAACCAGAGGCCAGAAGAGAAAUUCAGGCAAGCCUUUGAGGGGGCCGGGCAGGCCCUGCUGCAGCAGCGGGGAACGAGAACAAACAGCAGGUUCCCUUGUUUGCUCGCUAGCUGAGGGGGGCAAGCUUUUUCCUUAUAUGGGGUAGUGGUAGGGGUGUAUCCAGGGAUCAGGCCGGAGGGGUGGCUUAGGUGUUUUUCUCACCCCUCAGGUGGUGUUAAGUGCACGGGGCAUGCUCAGUACCCUGCUUUUGCUCCUGACACCCCGUUUUUGCUCCUGGCUCUUCAGAAAUGGCAGUUGGGUUUUUUUUUGGUCUUUUUGUAUCUUUUGGGUCCAGAAUUUGCCCCAACUGCGCAGGCCCGCAGUUAUUUUUAGUCCCAUAUAGUUUCUUUGUAUUUUGUAGCUCGAGGGGAGGUGUGGCCAGGUGCAAGCUUCGUGGCCCUGCAGCAAAGGGUCUCAGGUCCCAGGCCUGCCUCACUGUGAGUCCUCAAGAGUGUCGUGAGAGCUGAUGGAUGCUGGGCGUGGGUGCGCAGGGAGGUGGCAGUGCCUGAAUGAGGAGGAACUAGAGAACUGGGGACUGAUGAAUGAAGGCUUUAAUGCAGUCUGGCUAGUAACUGGCUGACCCAACCAUCAGGUGCGAUUUAGGGUGAAGCAGGCAUUCGUUUGGGCAUUUUGUUUCUCCAGUGACUAUUGGCAAUUAACACCUCCUCUUGUAAAAACCCUAACACCUUUCCCCAGCUACCUCCCCUGCUCAGACCUGCUUCUCUUUGGAAAAUGGGGAAUGGUGUGUCUGUGUAGCCCUGUGUGUGUGUGUGUGUGUGUGUGCGCGCAUGAAAGUAUCUCAUGUGUGAGGACGUGUGUGUAUAAAUGGGAGUGCAUGUGCUUGUACCUGCAUGAAAGUACCUGCUGGUGCCGUGUAUGGGAGAGCCUGUGUGCAUGAGACUGUGUGCCUCUGUGCACAUGGGGGAACACGGAUGCAUGCAUGUUCACAUGUGUCCAGGAGAGUCAGUGGGUCUUUAUGAGUGUGAGUGACUGUGAGGUGUGUGAGUGUUUGCAGUGAGUGUGCAUGGGAUUCUGUGCAAAUGACCGGCAUGAUUGUCUUUGCAGGGGAGAAGUUGUUGCGCUGGGAUACUUACAUGAACCAAAGCAAUAACAUGCCCAACUCCCCUCCCUGCUUCUCCUCUUGUAAUCCAUUCUCCACCCAGCAGCCAGUGUGAGAUUUAAAAAAUGCAAAUCAGAUCGUGUCACUUCUAGGCUGAAAACCCUCUGAUUUCUGCAGGCUACUCACUGCAUCUGGAAUAAAUCCAACCUUUGACUGUGGCCUGGAGGAUGUGCUCCCAUCCCAAUCUUUGAACCUUUGUCCUCAUCUCCUCCCACUCCUCAGGCAGGCACCCCUGCCUCAGUCACAUAGGCAAGAGCCUUUAUACCUGCUGCCCCCUUCUCUGGACCCCUUGGCUGCCGGGGACUGUCUCGGCUCCAGAUUUCAGCCUGACAUUAUCAGUGGGGCCUUCCCUGACUCCCCUCAGUACUCAACUGUCCCAUCACUCCGACUUCUUUCCUCCCCAGGGCUAGGUCAGUUAGGUCUGAAGCGGGUGCUGAGACAGAGUUAGUUGUGCCCAGGAGUUUGUGUGGAGCAGCCCCUGGGAAGGAGUAGAGAGAACUCCAGAUUGGGCAGGUCAGGGAGAGGCCAGCAGACCACAGUACAGAUCUGAUAAGGUCUCUGCCAGCCUCCUACGCGCGCGGAGCAAAGACUGUCCACUAGACGAGUCCUGAAUUAGGUGGAAAUGGCUAACCUUAUACCAUAGCCGGCUCAGUCAAGGGCCGGAACCAUCAACUCAAAAGCCAAGGUUCAAGAGAAUGAGAAGACAAACCACAGAUGAGAAAACACUUGCAAAAGACAGAUCUCAGGAAGGACUGGCAUCCAAAAUAUACAAAGAGCUCUUAAAACUCAAUAAUAAGUUGAUUUAUAAAAAAUGGGCCAAAGACCUAAACAGACACCUCGCUAAAGAAAACAUACAGUUG